rnacentral:rRNA from 1 species
CAGGGGAUAACACUUGGAAACAGGUGCUAAUACCGUAUAACAACAAAAUCCGCAUGGAUUUUGUUUGAAAGGUGGCUUCGGCUAUCACUUCUGGAUGAUCCCGCGGCGUAUUAGUUAGUUGGUGAGGUAAAGGCCCACCAAGACGAUGAUACGUAGCCGACCUGAGAGGGUAAUCGGCCACAUUGGGACUGAGACACGGCCCAAACUCAUACGGGAGGCAGCAGUAGGGAAUCUUCCACAAUGGACGAAAGUCUGAUGGAGCAAUGCCGCGUGAGUGAAGAAGGGUUUCGGCUCGUAAAACUCUGUUGUUAAAGAAGAACACCUUUGAGAGUAACUGUUCAAGGGUUGACGGUAUUUAACCAGAAAGCCACGGCUAACUACGUGCCAGCAGCCGCGGUAAUACGUAGGUGGCAAGCGUUGUCCGGAUUUAUUGGGCGUAAAGCGAGCGCAGGCGGUUUUUUAAGUCUGAUGUGAAAGCCUUC